UACGUAGGGGGCGAGCGUUGUCCGGCAUCAUUGGGCGUAAAGCGCGUGUAGGCGGCCCGGUAAGUCCGCUGUGAAAGUCCAGGGCUCAACCCUGGGAUGCCGGUGGAUACUGUCGGGCUCGAGUCCGGAAGAGGCGAGUGGAAUUCCUGGUGUAGCGGUGAAAUGCGCAGAUAUCAGGAAGAACAUCUAUGGCGAAGGCAGCUCUCUGGGACGGUACUGACGCUGAGACGCGAAAGCGUGGGGAGCGAACAGG
rnacentral:rRNA from 1 species